rnacentral:rRNA from 1 species
AUGCUGAGGCAGAGCUCUAGUAGGAACCACAGAUCGAAAGGUCUGAAGCUAAAGAAAGCUCUUCAGAUAAGUCUUUUGGUUCUUGUGUCUGUUUGGUUGCUCUACCAAGUAAAGCAUUCUUACGAGAAGAAGACGGCAUAUAAUGAAAAUGAUGCCACCAAUCACGAAGCCGGUGAUGAGCAUAAAGAUGAUCAGAGCCAGGUGGGCGUCAUCAAACUGGGCAGGAAAGACCUGCCAGCAAAGGAGGCCGAUUCGUCAACACUGGAUGAACGGGUUGAGGACGAAGAGAAUGAGGAGAUGGACCCAGAAAUGAAGCGCGAUGAGCAUGAUGACGACCCCAUUGAUGAGCCGGACCUGGACAAGGAUGAGGAUCUUCCUGAGCCUGGGGAGCACUCGGCUAACAAGGAUGAAGGGUCAGACGGCAGGGCUGUGUUUGAGGACGAAGAGCGUAAAGAGCGCUCUCAGGAGGAUCAAGAGAAGAGUUUCCAUGGUGAUGAUGUCUCUAGCGCUGUAACACAUGACCCUCCGUCAUCGCAGCAAGAUGUGCUGACCCAUCAUGCCCAAGAGAAGAUCUUGUUCGUGGAUGAUGCUUCAACUGCAGUUCCUCAUGAAAACCAGGAACCUGAGCACAAGGAGGAGGAAGAUCGUAAGGCUAGGGAGAAGAGUUCUGGAGGUGAGAACGUUUCAAGUUCUGUGGACCAUGAUGCCCAACUCACGAAUCCUCUCCCGGACGAACAGCUGAAGAACAUGGAUAGGAUCUUUGAAGGCACCACCAAUUUAUCAAAUGGAUUUACAUUCCGGGGUCCUGGAGUGAAUGGAAGCAAUGCUGUCGGGGAGCACGAGGCUUCAGGAUCUAAUGCGUCGUCCAACCCAAACAUGAGCACUCCCAGCAUGGUCUCGGAAAGCAAGACUGAUCCAACUCCAGUAAAUGUGACAAGCAACUAUGCUGGAUCAGUGACAAGUAAUUCAACCUCUUUGAAAGGUCAACAUGAGCAGCCAGUAAAUUCAACAGCAGCAUCAAACAACCAAACACAACUCUUAGCUGACCUGACAUCAGCCGAGCUGAAUUCUCCACCGAAUGGGACUACGGUGGCUUCGGGUUCAACCGAUGCCCAAAAGGCCACAUCUAGAGACGGAGACAAUGGCGGUAACAACACCGACACCUCUUCCACUCCGGCCAGCAAUAAAGAAGACGGCGGCGGCGACGCUCAGAAAGAAGACCAAGACGUGUCGACGAAAAUCAUGAACAAAGCGAUCGGCGAAGGCGAAGUUCUCCUGGAGUGA